CGUAGGUGGCGAGCGUUGUCCGGAAUUAUUGGGCGUAAAGGGCGCGUAGGCGGUUUUUAAGUCAGGUGUGAAAGCCCCCGGCUCAACUGGGGAGUGUCAUCUGAUACUGGGAAACUCGAGUGCAGGAGAGGAAAGUGGAAUUCCAUGUGUAGCGGUGAAAUGCGUAGAUAUAUGGAGGAACACCAGUGGCGAAGGCGGCUUUCUGGACUGCAACUGACGCUGAGGCGCGAAAGCUGGGGGAGCGAACGGGAUUAGAUACCCCGGUAGUCCCAGCCGUAAACGAUGGAUGCUAGGUGUGGGGGGUAUCGACCCCUUCCGUGCCGCAGUUAACACAAUAAGCAUCCCGCCUGGGGAGUACGGCCGCAAGGUUG
rnacentral:rRNA from 1 species